rnacentral:rRNA from 1 species
GUACACUCCUACGGGAGGCAGCAGUGGGGAAUUUUGGACAAUGGGCGAAAGCCUGAUCCAGCCAUGCCGCGUGCAGGAUGAAGGCCUUCGGGUUGUAAACUGCUUUUGUACGGAACGAAACGGCCUUUUCUAAUAAAGAGGGCUAAUGACGGUACCGUAAGAAUAAGCACCGGCUAACUACGUGCCAGCAGCCGCGGUAAUACGUAGGGUGCAAGCGUUAAUCGGAAUUACUGGGCGUAAAGCGUGCGCAGGCGGUUAUGUAAGACAGUUGUGAAAUCCCCGGGCUCAACCUGGGAACUGCAUCUGUGACUGCAUAGCUAGAGUACGGUAGAGGGGGAUGGAAUUCCGCGUGUAGCAGUGAAAUGCGUAGAUAUGCGGAGGAACACCGAUGGCGAAGGCAAUCCCCUGGACCUGUACUGACGCUCAUGCACGAAAGCGUGGGGAGCAAACAGGAUUAGAAACCCCAGUAGUCCC